rnacentral:lncRNA from 1 species
UCUGGGAUUGAAGUCGAAGGUGUAUUUUCGGCUCUGUCCUUUAAAAUGUCAGCCGAAGGAGCAUCUUCGGCUUGUCGAAAUUGCCGUUUAGCAACUGAUUUACGCCGUUUUGAAGACAGCGGCGUAGUAGUUUGUACAGUUUCAAUCGUUCUUUUGUCUGAAGCUGGGACUGAUGAAGAAGUGGAAAUAGACUGCCGAUGAAAGUGAAAGAAAAGGAAGUUGUAAUAUACCGAAAAUUCGGAAAAUAAAUAUCGAACUUUAGUCAAAUUGACAAAAGUGCG